rnacentral:rRNA from 1 species
GCAGCAGUGGGGAAUAUUGGACAAUGGGCGCAAGCCUGAUCCAGCCAUGCCGCGUGAGUGAUGAAGGCCUUAGGGUUGUAAAGCUCUUUCACCGAUGAAGAUAAUGACGGUAGUCGGAGAAGAAGCCCCGGCUAACUUCGUGCCAGCAGCCGCGGUAAUACGAAGGGGGCUAGCGUUGUUCGGAUUUACUGGGCGUAAAGCGCACGUAGGCGGUUUGUUAAGUGAGAGGUGAAAUCCCAGAGCUCAACUCUGGAACUGCCUUUCAUACUGGCAAGCUAGAGUCCGGAAGAGGUAAGUGGAACUCCUAGUGUAGAGGUGGAAUUCGUAGAUAUUAGGAAGAACACCAGUGGCGAAGGCGGCUUACUGGUCCGGAACUGACGCUGAGGUGCGAAAGCGUGGGGAGCAAACAGGAUUAGAUACCCCCUGGUAGA